CAAGACUGGAGUUUGUUACCUGGUUGCUGGGUGCAACGUCAGUGCUUGAGCCAAGAGCUUAGACCCUUGAACUCUUGUGCUCUCUGGUAUCUGGACUACUCUUGGACAAGAGCUUUGGACUUGCAGACUUAACCUUGCUUCUUGGAUACUACUGGUAAUUGGAACACGAGAAGCCAAACCAGCAACUAUAAUAAGGAUGGAAGACAGCAACAGGUGGCCACUCUUGCCAAGCAAACUGCAUAGAAUUUGGAAUCGACCCAGUUGUCAAAAGGCGGGAUGAAGUCUUGCCUUAAUCCUGAAGAACUUGAACUUUUCUGGCAAGUGGUUUUCCCUAUAGUAUAAGAGAAAUCUUGAAGCAAAGUAAGCCUGGUUUGAAAGAAAACAGCAUCUGUAAGUUUCCUGUCCUGUUA
rnacentral:lncRNA from 11 species